UCGAGAAUCUUCGGCAAUGGGCGAAAGCCUGACCGAGCGACGCCGCGUGCGGGAUGAAGGCCUUCGGGUUGUAAACCGCUGUCGUAGGGGAGCAAGGGGUAACCUUGAGCGAUCCUAGGAGGAAGGACCGGCUAAGUUCGUGCCAGCAGCCGCGGUAAUACGAACGGUCCAAACGUUAUUCGGAAUCACUGGGCUUAAAGCGUCCGUAGGCGGCUUUGAAAGCAGGGCGUGAAAUCCCACGGCUUAACCG
rnacentral:rRNA from 1 species